rnacentral:tRNA from 1 species
GUCUUGCUGGCUCUGUCAGUAGAGCAUGUGACUCUUGAUCUCAGGGUCAUGAGUUCAAGCCCCAUUUGGGGCA